rnacentral:rRNA from 1 species
AGCAGCCGCGGUAAUUCCAGCUCCAAUAGCGUAUAUUAAAGUUGUUACAGUUAAAAAGCUCGUAGUUGAAUUUCGGGAUCAAUUUAUUGGUCGUGCUAUUGUACGUACUGGUAUUAUUGAUUCCUACCUUCUGACGAACCAUGAUGUCAUUAAUUUGGUGUCUUGGGGAAUCAGGACUGUUACUUUGAAAAAAUUAGAGUGUUUAAAGCAGGCUCACGCUUGAAUACAUUAGCAUGGAAUAACGAAAUAGGACGUUUGAUUCUAUUUUGUUGGUUUCUAGGAUUGACGUAAUGAUUAAUAGGGAUAGUUGGGGGCAUUAGUAUUCAAUUGUCAGAGGUGAAAUUCUUGGAUUUAUUGAAGACUAACUACUGCGAAAGCAUUUGCCAAGGAUGUUUUCAUUAAUCAAGAACGAAAGUUAGGGGAUCGAAGACGAUCAGAUACCGUCGUAGU